rnacentral:lncRNA from 1 species
GUAACGCCCCGAAAAUUUUGGAAUAAAAAUAUAUUUGUCUUAUAUGUUAUAGUUUUAAAAUUUGAGGACUGAAAUGAAAUAGCGUUUAAAGUCAUAUUUUAUUUGGCACCAAUAAUUACAUUUUGAUAGAAUGAGUAUAAGUAUAUCAAUAUUGGGCUCAUUUUGUAGCUCGCAUUUAAUAACGUAUUUUCAGCUCAAGAAAAUAUGAGUUCUUUUAAGUUAAAACUAAGUUAUUUCAAUUCAAAGAAACAUAGA